AAAUGCCUUAGUGUAUGCUUAUACUUCCUGCCUAUAGGUGACUGCAUAGUGACUGGAAUAAGCAUGCAAAAUGUUCUACUAAUUGGGGAGAAUCUUGGUGGCUGUGCAUCUAUUUCUGGAUCAUUGCUUGGGGAGAAUACUGGCUGUCAAUGUGUUUGUUGUCAAGAAAUUGAUAUUUUGGAGAAAACCCAUAAGGCGUAUUGUAUUUAUUGAUGUAUUAGGAAGUUUUUCUGCACUUGGAGUUUUGAUUGCAAUUUGACAAAUGUCUGGAUUGGUAUUCAUUUGAAGCCAAACUUUCUUGUGUUUUUGUAUGUUCUUAGCUACAGUAAAGUGGGUUGUAAGAGAGUAAUUUGUUUUUUUAUUUUUGUUAUUUUUGUGAGAAACAAAUGUGUGGUAUUGUUGAUAAGCAAGAAGAAGUAAUUUGAUACUUUCUGUAAAAGAGUUUGAUGACGAAGUUUAUGCGGAUCAAUGGCAGAACCAACUCCUUUGUAGCAAAUCAUUUAUCCGAGUCUCUACAAUGCUUGGCUAGCACAUUAAGACGUUGGAGAAGUGGCCAACCUUCAGAAUCCUGGGAGGCUCACAAGGCAGCAAUCCAAGCAGUCAUAAAGCUGCCUUCAGGCGAGCUUG